AAUUGACCAUCUGUGUGUGGCUUUAUUUCUGGGCUCUCUACUCUGUUCCAUUGAUUCAUAUGUCUGUUUUUGUGCUGAUACCAUGCUUGUUUGGUCACUGUAGCUUUGCUGCAUCAUCUGAAGUCUAGAAGUGUUAUGCCUCCAGCUUUGUUUUUUUUUUCUCAGCACUGCUUUGGCAAUUCUGGGUCUUUUAUGGUUCCAUAUACAUUUUAGGAUUAUUUAUUCUAGUUCUGUGAAAAAUGUCAUGGGUAAUUUGAAAGGAAUCACAUUAAAUCUGUAGAUUGCUUUGGAUAGUACAGCUGUUUUAAUGAUAUGGAUUAUUCCAAUCUAAGAGCAUGGUAUAUGCAGCCUAGAAAGCACAGGCUCCUCUACAAAAUGGAUGGGGCUGCCUUGCCAGCCGGAGCCUGAAAAUGUGCCCAGGUGUACAGAACCCCAAGUCCCUGGACAACCUGUGAAAUGCUAGCUGCCUGUGAACAGAUGAAAGGGAGGACAGGCAACUGUCCUGGAAAGAAGGAUCUGCAGACGGGACCUCCCUCAACUUUGACCAUGUACAUCUCAGGGUCUGCUUUCCCGGUCUGACCCCUCCCAGUGACAGCAGAGCUGUGAACCCAGGAACACUGACAGCCAAGAAAAGUGGCAUCAUCAAACCCCUCCCACCGCCUCUUCUCUCCUCUCAUGGCCAUUUUCAACAUCAAAGAAUAAUAAACUACUACACUGCACAUCUGAAACUCACAUAAUAUUUCAAAUCAACUAUGCUUCAGUUUUGAAAAAUUUAUAAAGAAUAAAAAUGCUGUAAAAGAAAUGCCCCCCAGGAGUUUUAGUAAAGGGUCUGAAACCUAUAAUUUGAUCCCCAGUUCCAUUCCAUCUGCCAAAGCUGUGACGGACCCUGCGGUCAAGACAGUGGGCCAGCCAUCUGCUUGCAACCAUACCAUGAUUACAGGUUGUUCCUAAGAGUUGGUAUAACUAGAGGGUUAGGCUCAAGGAGACUCACAGUAGCAUUACUGAUUGCCAACCAUGUUCUAGGCUUUGCCCUAAGGGCUUUAUGUACUUGCAACAAAUUUGUGAGCCUGGAAUUAUUCUUACAAAUGUUUUAGGAAUUGGAGACUGGACUCAGAAGCAUUAAAUGCAAGAUUGCCCAGCCAAAAAAAUAGCAGGAAGGGAUUUGAAC
ensembl:lncRNA